CGCAUUAAUUUUUCGUCUCGGACGCGCUCUACAAUUACCUGCCUUCUGUCCUAGGCCUCUACGGGGAUUGAUUGAGCCAGUCGGCGCCACAGACACCCUCCAACCACGUGCUUUUUGCUAAGGAAGGAGGACGAAUUCACAGCACAGCGCCCCAAGGGCAGUGACUGGGCACUGGGAUAAGGUGGAGAAAAGAAGUGGCACCUCAUCAGGCCUGAUUGUGGAGAUUGAUCAGGGGAGGCUUUUGAUCAGGGGAGGCUUUCUGGAGGAGGAAUCAAGACCAUCCCCAAGAAAAAGAAAUGCAAAAAAGCAAAAUGGCUGUCUGAGGAGCCUUACAAAGAGCCGUGAAAAGAAGAGAAGCAAAAAGAAAAGGAGAAAAGGAAAGAUACAAGUGUCUGAAUGCAGAGUUCCAAAGAAUAGCAAGGAGAGAUAAGAAAGCCUUCCUCAGUGAUCAGUGCAAAGAAAUAGAGGAAAACAACAGAAUGGAAAAGACUAGAGAUCUCUUCAAGAAAAUUAGAGACACCAAG
ensembl:lncRNA